GAUGAACGCUGGCGGCGUGCCUAAUACAUGCAAGUCGAGCGAACAGACGAGGAGCUUGCUCCUCUGACGUUAGCGGCGGACGGGUGAGUAACACGUGGAUAACCUACCUAUAAGACUGGGAUAACUUCGGGAAACCGGAGCUAAUACCGGAUAAUAUAUUGAACCGCAUGGUUCAAUAGUGAAAGACGGUUUUGCUGUCACUUAUAGAUGGAUCCGCGCCGCAUUAGCUAGUUGGUAAGGUAACGGCUUACCAAGGCAACGAUGCGUAGCCGACCUGAGAGAGUAAUCGGCCACACUGGAACUGAGACACGGUCCAGACUCCUACGGGAGGCAGCAGUAGGGAAUCUUCCGCAAUGGGCGAAAGCCUGACGGAGCAACGCCGCGUGAGUGAUGAAGGUCUUCGGAUCGUAAAACUCUGUUAUUAGGGAAGAACAAAUGUGUAAGUAACUAUGCACGUCUUGACGGUACCUAAUCAGAAAGCCACGGCUAACUACGUG
rnacentral:rRNA from 1 species